GGCUCAGAAUGAACGUUGGCGGCGUUGGAUUAGGCAUGCAAGUCGAGCGAGAAUUUGCUAGUUGAAACUUCGGUCGAUUCUAGUGAAGGGACAGCGGCGAACGGGAGAGUAACGCGUGGAGUAUCUGCCCUUAAGCCUGGGAUAGCUGCGGGAAACUGCAGGUAAUACCGGAUAAUGUCUUCGGACCAAAGGUGUGAUUCCGCUUAAGGAUGGCUCCGCGUCCUAUUAGCUUGUUGGCGAGGUAACGGCUCACCAAGGCUACGAUGGGUACCGGGUGUGAGAGCAUGACCCGGCUCACUGGGACUGAGACACUGCCCAGACACCUACGGGUGGCUGCAGUCGAGAAUCUUCGGCAAUGGACGCAAGUCCGACCGAGCGACGCCGCGUGCGGGAUGAAGGCCUUCGGGUUGUAAACCGCUGUCGUAAGGGAUGAAACGCUAGUGAGUUAUCUCAUUAGUUUGACUGAACCUAGGAGGAAGGGCCGGCUAAUCUCGUG
rnacentral:rRNA from 1 species